GUGUGUGUGCGUGCUGGAUGAUGGGUGUGUGUGUGUGUGCUGGAUGAUGUGUGUGUGUGUGCUGGAUGAUGUGUGUGUGUGUGCUGGAUGAUGUGUGUGUGUGUGCUGGAUGAUGGGUGUGUGCGUGCUGGAUGAUGGGUGUGUGUGUGCGUGCUGGAUGAUGGGUGUGUGUGCUGGAUGAUGUGUGUGUGUGUGUGUGUGUGUGUGUGUGUGUGUGUGCUGG